UAUAUUGUCUACCGACACAGAGAACGAAGAAAUCUUUUUUUACGAAUAAUUUUAUUUUUGAAUGAAAUACGACGAAAAUAAAAUUUCAAUACAUUAAACGCAAACAAGUUGUGUAUCCUUCUUUCUCAAUCCUCCUGAGAUAUGGUUCUGUAAUAAUAAUAGUUCUAUAAUGAUAACGCAAGUUUUCGCUAUUCCUCCGUAAUUUUCUACGUAACUGCGAGAUGCUCUUUAAUCAUCUAAUGCACUUCGAUUGCAGCGAUCGAUUCUAUUUUUUUUUAUUAUAUUUCCGAGGGCAGGAGAGACCCGUCUUCUCGAUUAUAAGAUUUAUGGCGUUUCUCAUAGAAGACGAUAGAGUCAUUGAAGGGAACGAAGGAGAGGGGAAACUGAAUUCCAACAUCGGCUUGAUCUCCCCUUCUGACCGCGUUAAUUAUCGCAAUUGACUAAUUGGCUCAAUUGGGAAAGUUCUUGGUACUAAUUAAAAUCGGGCGAGCGGUUUUAAAAGUAACUCUGGUUAUGAGAACGACCUCUCGUUCUGAGAAUCUCUUUUUAACGGACAUUAAUCAAAGCUUUAUUUUCCUUCGUUAAAGGAACGCUUCGAAUUAAUAAUGAAGCGAGGAUAUCAAAGCGCUCAAUGAUCGCUUCAGUUUGAUUAUGUAAUAAUUAACGGUCCUAAUAUUCUGCCAUUAAAUGUAAAACAAAUAUAAUUUAGCAAAUAUAAUAUUACAUAUUUUAUAAAAAGAAUAUAAUAGAUCAAUAGUCAUUCGCUAGUUAAUCAAUAUUAGGGAAUGUAUAUGUAUAUAUUAGGAAUACAAUUUUUUUUAAUAAUGACAAAAUUUUGCUAUAACAUUUCUUGUUAAAACGGCUGCCUUUAUUGGCUCUAUUAUUAUUGUACGUUGCUAUUAAUUGUAGGUAAAUGUGAAGAGUUAUUUAAAAAAUUUAUUUUAUUUUCACAUAAUUCCAUUAAUAUAAGAGUCCAUUCAUUAAUAAAGGUUAAGUUUACAUUUUUAAUUAUCUUUACGCAAUUACUUUUUUUAAACACGCAAACGAUAUAUUUUAUAGCGACAUAAAACUUUCACUUCCAGGGCAACGAUACAUUUCCUACACGAAUCUGACAAGGAAAAAGUGAAGAUUUUCACAACUAUGGAGUAUGAAGAAAUAUCACUUCUUAGCCUUGCUUAGGAGGCAAUGAGUCCACUUAGGAGGAAAAACGGCGGAGAGUACGGGAGUCACGUUUAUUAGGAUUAAAAUGUCACACACGAGGAAUGUCGUAUCCCACACGAGAAUUAUUCGCAGCUUUUGAAAUCCCCGGUGUAAAAAGAACGCACGUGCGCGCGACACGAUCGCGCGAUUAUCGCGCCUAAGAUUACGGCCUUGAUUACGCCUGUGACUCCGCUCGGCCCGUUAAUAAUUUUUUCACCGGUUAUUCUUAGAACGGAAGGACACUCGAAACACAAAGCCCCGCGAGCUCUUUAAAUCCGGCCGUCGCGUCGUCGAUCACAUGAGGGAAAGUGAGAUGAUCGUAGGAAGCGCAUUCAUGGCCGCGGAUGAAUCGAUAAGGCAUAAAUUCCGCCGAGCGUGGAAUGCACGGCGAAAUGCCGCAUUCACGAACGUAUAGUGCGACGAUAUGUGCGAAUAACUUGUGAAUUAUUGUCGAUGAAAGUGGGAAGGCAGGGGAGAGAAAAAGGCAGAGACAGGGAGAAGCAUCUCUGACAUUAAAUUAGAAAAUUGUGAAGUGGGAGUCAAGAUGGCUCGAUGUUCGAGAAUAAAACUUAAAUUAAUUCCUGGAAUUAAAUAACAGUAUUUUUCAUGUAUGUCAAAAAUUAUUUUAAUAAUGUUUUGUUGUCCUUCACCCCCAACAAAAGAUCCAGAAAGCUGAGACAACGGUCCUUUUCAAGUUCUAAAGUAAACUGAAGUCUGUUAUGAAAACUGUUAAACAUGUUAACGGUUUCGGUAAUUUUUGUCAACGGUGCAGAUAAUAAAAUGUCAUCGACAUAACGAUAAUAACUUGGAAUUUCGAGGUUUAAUGCUUUUAACGCUCAAAGCAUUAAUUAUUUCAACGCAAAAGCUAAAAAAAGCAACCUUUUCUCAUCAAUUCUAUGGUUAAAUUGUUUCAAAGUAAGUAGCCGCCACAAUAACACAUACCUAAUAAAUAAUAAAUCAAAUUUGAGUCGAAUUUAAUAUACAUUUAUAAUUAAAUCGUUUAAUUCCAUUGACUAAGUUAACGACAUAUAUAAGUAGAAACAGUGGCGACCUGUAGGAAUGAUCAAAAGUGAUUUAAAUUUAGUACAAUUAGACAUUUUGACUUUUAACAGUGUGUUAUUAAUUACUAUGCCAAUAUUGCGCGAUCACAAUGAUAACUGGACGGCUGCACGUUGGAAAAAGCAAACUGCGACAUAGUCCUGUGUUUUCAGCGCGGUCUCUAAACCGGAGAUAAAAAUUCAGAGGACGUCGCCGCUUCGGCUCGCGUGCGCGCGGAAGAUAUCACCGCGUUAUCGACGACCGACGGGCGUUAUCGCCGUCGUUAUCGGUGCUCGCUCGCUUGCGAGCGCGCGCGCACUUCGGUCCGUUUAGCUAUUGAAUGCGUGCUUAUCGCAAAUGGGGAAAAGCGAACAGCAUUUGCGCCAAUUUGCGUUCUUCGCUGCAGCACACUAAGGCGACUUCUAAAUAGAGAGAUCUAUCGGAGAUAAGACCUAAAAUUUGUGAAAUAAAAUUAUACUAAAUCUGCAUUAUGUUUUUUUUUUGUAGCUUCGAUUUUUAGAUAACGCAGCACCUAAGAGGCUGUAAUUUACAUAUUACAUGAAAAAUAAAAUCAAGUGCUUAUAAGAGUUAAGCCGUUGGAAAUAUAUGGUUUGAUUUUGGGUGGAAAUGAAACAGAAAAGAAAUAAAAGUCACAUGGGCAUGCAAGAAUCUUGAGAGAAAAUGGAAGAAUGAAAAUAAAUGAGUUAAUUAAUUGAAACUCUUGCAGCAACGCAGCAACAAGAAAAAACCACAGUCAAUAUUCAACAGGCAUAAAAAUAAAGGCCGUAAAUAAGAAAUAAAUAAAAUUAAUAGGUCGGUGCGCUCUUCCAGACAAUUAAAAGAAAAACGCGAGCUACGCUGCACCGCAGUUUCAAAAAGAGAUAUCGUUCCCGUGCAUUCGCGGCAGCCGCGGUUCUCGGUCGAGCGAUUUCGCGAAUCUAAUCGGUCUCUAACCAUCUAAAAUCCACCAUCGCACGAUAUACAUCGACCGGAUUAUGAAAAGAGCGCGGCGGAGAGGAGAGAAGGAAGGGAAACCUUGGUCUGCGCCUGGUUGGAAACGACCGCCGGCGACGAGGAGGAGGACGCGCGAACGUUUUCUUUUCUCCGCUCCUCUCCCCAUGUCCUCCUCUCUUUUUCUUACUGUUUACCUUGGCUUUGGUGGAAUGUAGGAGAUAAGUGGUUGCGUACACGCGUACGCGCGAAUCUCGCGGAGCGGCUGACGAGCUUACAUUCGAACGGGAGAGAGGAAGAUAAUGCUCACGACGACGAUGCCGCUGGGCCAAAACGACGACUUUUGGUGUCAUUAUUCAUCGAUGCUGUAAUCUUUUAUUUUUAACGCUAGGGGAGAUGCUAUGAAAUAAAAAAAAGGGAACACGCGAAAGGAGGCUGCGUGAAAUAUGGACCUGUAAACGAGAUGAAGAUUUUAAAUAUUAAGUCGGCACGGAGCAUUUUAUUGCCCGUCUGAUAUAUUUCAUGAACGAGGCUGACCUUCGAUCGCUGCUCGACGGUAUCGAUUAUUAAGAUGAUGGAUUGCGCAAUUAAACACGAGUGUAAUUUACGUACGUCAGAAAUGUCAGCGUUAUUUUUCGGAAACUUGAAGUCGUCGACUUAUUUAUACAUAGGAAAACAAAAUUUUUACUCGAAACACCGGCAAUGAAUAAUCAGCUGUUUCUCUGCGAGAAUUAUCAUAGUUGAUUGACGAUAAUUCAAAGAAAGGAAACGUGGCCUCACGUUUUUCGAAAAUAUUUAUCAUGUGUUUAUCAUCAUAUCGUAUGUUUAUCAUAUGUUUAUCUGUAAUUAAUUAAUGAAAGAAUCGUCUGUUUAUUAUUGACAUUACUAAAGAUAUUUUUAAGCAUACGAUAUUAGCUAAAAGUUAAAAAAUUGCAUGCUUCUUAUUCUUUUUUCUUUUCUAAUUGACAAUUAAAAACUUAGAUCGUAAGUGAUUAUCUGAAUUUUAAAAUCAACUGCAAAAAAUAAUUUGGAUUAUAAUAACCAAUGUAGCGUAAAUCACCAUAUUUCUGCGGCAGAUUUAAAUAAAUUAUUUUUAUAGUUUUACGAGUAAGUGGAGUCAAGUAAACUUUUGCGCCAAUAUUUAUUAGAGUUUUAUUAGUACCUAUAUAUGUAAAAAAUGUAUUCAAUUCAUUGUGCUAUUUUCCCAUCAAAUUUACAAGUAAGUACUACAAAACGUGAUUUUACAUAAAAAAGCAAAUAAAAAAUUAAAUAACUUUUGUUCUAACAAGAGUGUUCAAAUUUUUGCAUAGUUAUUCAAACGUAAUAAUAAAAUAAUGUCAUAGAAAUUUUAAUAUUUUUGGUAUAGAAGCAGGGCAUCAAUAAUGACAUAGGUUUUCUAAAGCGCACUUUCUUAUUUUUCUGAACAUUGUACCGUAUUAAUACUGAUAAAAACAUGAUCUUAGAUAAUUAAAAACAUAGUUCCAUAGGUCAUACUUUCAAGACAUUAUUUUACAUAAAAUCUACUGAAAACUAAUCUAAUCUAUAUACAUAGUCGCGUUACAUGUUGCAUUUUGUGGAAUAACAUUUAUUUGUAUAAUCAACAAAAAAUAUUUUACGUUGAAGUAAAAGAUACAAAUCCUCAUACACAAUUUGUACAAAUAAAUCAUGAAAAGGAAAAGAGAAAGAAGAGUUCUGUUGUUAGUUUUGGGAUCUAAUUUUUCAAACGUUCAUUUUUAGUUAUGUUGUGAAAACAUUGAUUAUUACAAAAUGAAACACUAUUGUAAAAAUUGUUAAUUGUUGUUUGAGAAGAUAUUUCUAAUUUAUAUUUAUGUUUUCAAAGUUUAAUUUUUAGCUUUUGUUUAAGAAAUAGUAUCUAAAAACAAAAUGGUAUAGCAAUCCUGAUCUUUUUCUAAUUCCUUACCGUAAAGACAUUGUAAAUUUUACGAUGUGACAUCUCCCCCCAAAAAUGCAGCCUCAUAAAUCAUUUAAAUCACGUUUAUAUGUUUAUUUUAAUAUAAUUAAAAGCAGUGAAAAAAUCGGCUGUUUUGUUAAUAUUACAUUAAUCGCUGACUAUUCAUUACUGAUCAUUCAGAUCGUUAACUAUUAUUUUUGCGGUAAAAUCGGUAAAAUCGAAACACCGGAAAGAUAACGAAAGUAUUUUAUCAUAAGAAUUUUAACGCGUCUGAGAAUCCGGAAACAGUGAUUUGGACUUAGGUCUUUCGUUAUCUUGCGUAAUCGCAUUUAGUUACUAAUCAGGUGGGUUUUAUGCGAGUGAAAUGAGAGCGAAAUCGCAUAAUUCAUCGAGCGGUGAAUCGGGGGCUCGAGGCGACGAAGGCGAAGUCUCUCCGGGAGUGUUUGUGCGCGUUCGAACACGUCGACGAGAUAAGACUAUAAAUUGCUUUGCGUAUCUUUGUCACAUCGUUGUACAGGAUGUUUCAGAAGGUACUUGAAACCUUUUCCUCGGAAAAUCAUCUUUUCGACGCGACAAUGUUAAAUAAAUGGAUUUAAAAUUAGAAUCCCGAAAAAAUAAAACUUACCGAAACUUGAACGACCAAAAUUGUGAAAUCUGAACAAUCGAGAAUAUUCUGUACAUCGAGUGUCUCACUUGCGUUCGUAAAUUUUAAAGUGCAAAUAUUGUUUUGUUUUUUUCGUGAAAAAUACUGAAAGUGCGCUUUUCAACAAACACCAGUUAAAAGUUAUAUAACUGUUAAUUAUAAUUUUUUACUCAAUAAUGUAAUUAUUGUUAUUACUACAGAAAAUUAUAACUCAUAGUUACAUCAUUUUUAGUUGGUGUUUGCUGGGUCUAUAAAAUAAAUAUUUGCACAUUUUCCAUAACUUAAUUCAUCCUUUCCCCCUUUUUUCCUUCAUCUUAUUUAUAGGAUGGCAUCCUCAAAAUUUUUUCCUCUCUGUAACGUUUUUACAUUAUAUUGUUAAACUCAUAAUGUCGAAUGUUGUGUUCAAUUUGAGUUAUCUUUUCAUUCCUGUUACUUUGUUUCCACUUAAUGUAUCAUCAAACUAAAAUAACGGAAAGCAGAAUAAUUUAACGAUGAGUAACUUGAGAAAUGUACUAAAUUUGAUUCAAGUUAAAAAUUAGUUUAUUAUUUACUACACGUAUACGUUAAUACGAACGUAGCUUAUUUUACACAAUUAAACAAUUUAAUCACGGUUGAUUAGGUGUAAUUGUUUUUUUAACCACAUGUGCGUUAAAAUAAUAACUUCACAUGUAAGUUAAACACAAUAAAAUUUAACUCAAGGAGUUGGUUUUAAAUUGCAUCUUUUAAUAUUUAACAAUGUAUAUAUUUAUCAUCGAGAGCAAUCAAAGAACAAAGCGUUUAAUUAAUUAUUGACACUCCCGCGUGAGACGAUAUUACGCGUACGUCGCGUUGGUUACUACGAUCCAUCGAGCGAUCGUGAGCCGCACAAAUGUUAUCGCUUUCCUGAAAGAACGCACAGAGACCUGCGACGUGCGGUAUGUGGAACGGAUUUCGCUUUAUCGCCGAGAAUUCCCGGAGUCUCGACGCGGAGGAGCGGCGCGGCGGCACGACGACGAAGCCUUUCGCUCGUCUCGCGGAAGCGACAAUCCGAGAUUGGCAUGUGGAAUAUAAAUAAUUUACAAGAUGUCUAAGAGAGAAUUGAAUAUAAUUGAAAAUGUCCUAUAUAAAGAGUUUCCUCUUAAAAUGUAAAACUUUAAAAUCAUGAUAUUAUAGUCGUUACAUUUCGAAAGGUUUGAUAUAAUUUUCCCCGAUUCAAUAUGUAAUUUCUUCGUAAAAUAUAAAAUAUGGCUAAAUUUUAUUAAAGUAUAUGAUAAAAUUCUUCGAAAAAUAGCACGUUGUCCUACGGUUACCAUGAUCUUGAGAGUUCUUGGUAAAUUUUUUCUAUGCAGAUGAUAAAAUAUUAAAUGGACAGAUGUAAACUGUCGUAAAAUUUUUCCUUCCACCCUUUCGAUACGAGGGUCGGGUUAACAAAUUCGUUAAGACUGAACGCUCGCAUGACGGACCCCAUUUGGCGUUUAUGGGGGGGGGGGGAGGUCCGAGGCAAAAGUGUGCUAACGGGGAAUUCGAUUGGACGCGCCAGUGCGCACUGAUGCAUACUAAAAGCCGUCGCGGGCAGAAUGUGCGCGUAUAUAAAAGCAUAUGGGUAACAUAUGCGGAAUUGAAUAUUCAGUUUCGCGGAAUUUAUGCGUUACGGACGCCCGGGACACAUUUAUGCAAUAUGCAUCUUCGUAAAUCUAUGCACGUGGCACGAAACGCACGCCGGUGUGCACUCGCGCAUACAGCGCGAAUUGUGUGUACGGACGCACUAAGGGAGAGACAUUUGACACCAUGAUUUGUAACUGUGAUUGAAUGUUACAAUAAAUUAUGAUUAAGAGCUUUAUCUUUAGUUACUACAAUUAGAGGCUAUAAUUUGUAAUCGUUUUUUUCAAUAUUAAUUAUAUUUAAAUUAUAAAUGUGCAAUUGUUUUUAUCAGUGUAACACACAUUGCAUGUUAUUAAAUAUUAAUAUUAUAGCAGAAAUAAUUAUAAAGAUGGAGUUGAUAACUGUACUCUAGUAUAGCACAAUACAUUGGUUAUAUUGGGAGUAUAUUGGCCCAACGUAACGCCAAUAUUACUCAUAAAAUAUUGAUUUCAAAUUAGAAUGCAAUUAAUGUCCAAUAUGAAAAAUUGAUUCGACCAAUGUUGAAUCAAUAUUACUGCUUAGAAAAAUUGGCUAAAUGAAGUGAAACGUCUACUUUAUGAUAUUGGACCAAUAUUGGGAAUGUUGCCUUUAUAUAUAAUAUUACUUCCUAAUAUUGCGCCAAUGUUUUGUGCUACUGGGAUAAUUGAAAGAUUUCCUAAAGAAACUUAUACAGUUAAAAAUUUUCAGAAAACACUUUUUAUCUUCAAACCGACAAUUGUAUGAAUAAUCUGGAUAUAAUAUUAUAUAAUAGAUAUAAGAAUAAAGUCGUAGGCUCUUUAAUUAACAUUCUGAGAAUACGUUUAAAAGGAAAAAAAAAA
rnacentral:lncRNA from 1 species